rnacentral:rRNA from 1 species
AGAACGAACGCUGGCGGCAUGCCUAACACAUGCAAGUCGAACGCUCUUGGUUUCGGCCAAGGGAGUGGCGCACGGGUGAGUAACGCGUGGGAACCUGCCCUGGAGCGGGGGAUAACCGAGGGAAACCUCGGCUAAUACCGCAUACGACCUGAGGGUGAAAGAUUUAUCGCUCUAGGAGGGGCCCGCGUCGGAUUAGCUAGUUGGUGAGGUAACGGCCCACCAAGGCUAUGAUCCGUAGCUGGUCUGAGAGGAUGAUCAGCCACACUGGGACUGAGACACGGCCCAGACUCCUAUGGGAGGCAGCAGUGGGGAAUAUUGGACAAUGGGCGCAAGCCUGAUCCAGCAAUGCCGCGUGAGUGAUGAAGGCCUUAGGGUUGUAAAGCUCUUUCACACGCGACGAUGAUGACGGUAGCGUGAGAAGAAGCCCCGGCUAACUUCGUGCCAGCAGCCGC